GUGUAGCACAUAGACUGAAACUGGAAUGAUACAAAGAAGAUUAGCAUGGCCCCUACACAA
rnacentral:snRNA from 1 species